rnacentral:rRNA from 1 species
CCUACGGGAGGCAGCAGUCGAGAAUCAUUCACAAUGGGGGAAACCCUGAUGGUGCGACGCCGCGUGGGGGAAUGAAGGUCUUCGGAUUGUAAACCCCUGUCAUGUGGGAGCAAAUUAAAAAGAUAGUACCGCAAGAGGAAGAGACGGCUAACUCUGUGCCAGCAGCCGCGGUAAUACAGAGGGCUCAAGCGUUGUUCGGAAUCACUGGGCGUAAAGGGUGCGUCGGCGGUUUCGUAAGACGGGUGCGAAAGGCGCGGGCUCAACCCGCGGACGGCACAUGGUACUGCGAGACUAGAGUGAGGGAGAGGGAAGCGGAAUUCGCGGUGUAGCAGUGAAAUGCGUAGAUAUCGAGAAGAACACUCGUGGCGAAGGCGGGUUCCUGGGCAGUAACUGACGCUGAGGCACGAAAGCGAGGGGAGCGAAAGGGAUUAGAUACCCGAGUAGUC